rnacentral:lncRNA from 1 species
CGAAGAAAAGGGAAUAAACAUGAAAACAAAUGAAAGCGAAUAGGAACACGAAAGAAAAGGAUAAUAGGAAUGGAAACGGUGAGAAUGAUAAGCUAAGGAUAUGUGUGUUUAUUUUGUUACUAUAGAAACGAGUAUCUAUGUUCACCGCGGCCUUAUUGAUCUGUGCACAUGCAUGUUUAGAGUGCAAUUCUGGAUACCUUUCUCCCUUGCUCUGAUCAGUCGCUUUCCAAAACAGACGAGACUAACAUCUGAACUGAAUUAGCAUUGGAAUCCGAACUCAAUAUAUAUUUAUGUAUAUGUAAAUAAACUUAUGUGUAAAGCAUAUGUUAUUGAAGUGUGUUAUAGAAAUAUAUGUUAGGGAAGGGAGUAUUAUAGAAGUGCGUUUUUAUAGAAACAUGUUAUGGAAAACAUGCAGAGCUCAUUGCACUGCGCAACGGACCGUCUGGACUCCGGCCAGGAAUGAUACGUGUUGAAAUGACAUCAUACUGCAUAGGAGUGUAGAGUUCGUAACUAUUGUAUCCUGAAUUAGUGUUAUUUUCGCAAAUCUCUUAAGUAAACUGUUCAAAUGGCAAGUCUGAACUAAAAGAGCUCGUUACCUCCAGCACCAACAGCCAACGGAAUGACGUCCCAGGCAAGCAAUGCGGAACUUCGUGCUCUGGUGGAAGCAGGCGACGCCGAAGGGCUGCAGACCGCCCUCGGCUCCCUAUCUGCAGGCAUCUCGACUUUCUUGGGUUACGCGAAUGUCUCUGGUAAGCCAGCAGUAACAAUGCUUUUAGAAAGUCCAUUUCGACAUUUUCUUUUUGGUUUGUGUGUGGUGUAGAAUUAAUUAGGUCUUGGCUUUUGAUGGCCAGAUUUUCUUGAAGGUAUUCUUCUUUCAUGCAAUUAACACAGGCAAGGUGUAAAUCUUCUAAAUUGAUUCCUUAUUAUUAUUAGUAGUAGUAUUUUUAUUAUUAUUAUUAUUAUUAUUAUUAUUAUCAUAUUUCCCUAUAUAUGUAUAUAUACAUAUGCAUGUAUAUAAGUAUACAUAUAUA